GGAUGCGAUCAUACCAGCACUAAAGCACC
rnacentral:rRNA from 3 species